rnacentral:rRNA from 1 species
AAUGAACGUUGGCGGCGUGGAUUAGGCAUGCAAGUCGAGCGCUCAUCAGCAAUGGUGGGAGCGGCGAACGGCGUAGUAAGGCGUAGGAACGUGCCCUCUGGACGGGGAUAGCUGCGGGAAACUGCAGGUAAUACCCGAUGAUCUCUGCGGAGCAAAGGUGUGAUUCCGCCGGAGGAGCGGCUUACGGGAUAUUAGCUUGUUGGUGGGGUAAUGGCUUACCAAGGCGAUGAUGUCUAGGGGGUGUGAGAGCAUGGCCCCCACGACCGGAACUGAGAUACUGUCCGGACACCUACGGGUGGCUGCAGUCGAGAAUCUUCCGCAAUGGGCGAAAGUCUGACGGAGCGACGCCGCGUGCGGGAUGAAGGCCCUUGGGUUGUAAACCGCUGUCAGGGGGGAUGAAAUCUCCGAAGGUUCUCCUUCGGAGUUGACAGAGCCCCAAAGGAAGCACGGGCUAAGUACGUGCCAGCAGCCGCGGUAAAAC